UCAGGUAUACAGCACAGUGAUUCAACAAUUCUACACAUUACCCAAAUUCACCAUGAUCACUCACUCUUGAGGAGAGCCCACAGCCAUGUUGUGAGGAUACUCAGACAGCCCCCCAGAGAGGUACAUGUGAUGAGGAACUGAAGCUUCUUGCCAAGAACCAUAUGAGUGAGCCAUCUUGGAAGCACCCAAGGCAUCACAUGCAGACUGCAGCCCCCGCCAGCAUCCUAACCACAUCCUCAUGAGAGACCCUGUACCUGAACUGCCAGCUAAGCUGCUCCCAAAUUCCUGACCCACACAAACUGUGAGAGGGACCCUGGAGACACAGUGCCCCAAUUCAGAAGCACCGUGACAAUGGCAGCGAGCUUCUUCAGAGUGAAGAACAGAUCAUGUUCGCCUUGGUGUACCCAGCAUUGGCUGACAAAAGGAUAGGGGGUAAGCCUGUUACUGGAAGCUUAAUUGAAAAUUCUGCUGGCUAGAUGCUGCCUCUUACCCCCUCCUACACAGACAAUCCUAUUAUCCCCAACCUCCCCUGCAUCAUCUGUACUGCAAGCACAGAGACCAAUCAUGGAUCAGGUGGACUUUCUUCCCCCAAAAAGAACAUCAUUUAACAUUUAACAUACUAACAAGGUGACUUUCUGUUCCUCUGAGCAAGGCUCUUCCUCCCUUGGGUGCUCAGUUGAAUUACCUGUGAAGGUGAGUAUAAAUAUGCUCUAUCCGCCCAAAGAGAAGGCAGCUACCAGUUCACCUCUGAAGGUACACUCACUCCAAGAAUCCAGGAUUGUACAGUGAUUUAUGAACUUAGAGUUUCCAAACCACUAGAGCAGAAUUUAUGUGCAAGACAAAUGGACCAAUCACGUGCAAAAAGAACUUGUUCUUAAUGUGAGUGAUGAAAUUCAUUAAAUAAAGGAAACUCUUUUUAAUUGGUA